ACGCUCGACACCUACGGGAGGCAGCAGUGGGGAAUAUUGGGCAAUGGGCGCAAGCCUGACCCAGCAACGCCGCGUGAAGGAAGAAGGCUUUCGGGUUGUAAACUUCUUUUGUCAGGGAAGAGCAGAAGACGGUACCUGACGAAUAAGCCACGGCUAACUACGUGUCAGCAGCCGCGGUAAUCUGAGCGGGCUGGCAAGGC
rnacentral:rRNA from 1 species